rnacentral:rRNA from 1 species
UACAUGGGGUGCAAACGUUGCUCGGAAUUAUUGGGCGUAAAGCGCGCGUAGGCGGUUACUUAAGUCGGAUGUGAAAGCCCUCGGCUUAACUGAGGAAGUGCACCCGAAACUGAGUAGCUAGAGUACGAAAGAGGGUCGCGGAAUUCCCGGUGUAGAGGUGAAAUUCGUAGAUAUCAGGAGGAACACCAAUGGCGAAGGCAGCUCGCUGGGACGUGACUGACGCUGAGACGCGAAAGCGUGGGGAGCAAACAGG